rnacentral:rRNA from 1 species
AAUGCGGGACUCUAAGAGGCCCCGUAAUUGGAAUGAGUACACCUUAAAUCGUUUAACGAGUAUCAAUUGGAGGGCAAGUCUGGUGCCAGCAGCCGCGGUAAUUCCAGCUCCAAUAGCGUAUAUUAAAGUUGCUGCAGUUAAAAAGCUCGUAGUUGGAUCUGGGGCUUGAGGUCGCUGUCUAUCGUUUCGGCGAUGACGGUGAUGCUCAGCUCUGCUUGCCGGUGACUGUUGCGGUGUUCUUCACUGAGCGCUGUAGCAGCACGGCACGUUUACUUUAAAAAAAUUAGAGUGCUCAAAGCGUGCUUGUCGCUUGAAUAAUGUUGCAUGGAAUAAUGGAAUAGGACCUCGGUUCUAUUUUGUUGGUUUUCGGAGCUUGAGGUAAUGAUUAAGAGGGACGAACGGGGGCAUUCGUAUUGCGGUGUUAGAGGUGAAAUUCUUGGAUCGCCGCAAGACGGACUACUGCGAAAGCAUUUGCCAAGAACGCUUUCAUUAAUUAAGAACGAAAGUCAGAGGUUCGAAGACGAUCAGACACCGUCCUAGUUCUGACCAUAAACGAUGCCGACCAGCGAUCCGUAGUGGUUGCUUUAUGGACCCUACGGGCAGCCUCCGGGAAACCAAAGUAUUUGGGUUCCGGGGGAAGUAUGGUUGCAAAGCUGAAACUUAAAGGAAUUGACGGAAGGGCACACCAGGAGUGGAGCCUGCGGCUUAAUUUGACCCAACACGGGAAAACUCACCCGGUCCGGACACCGUAAGGAUUGACAGACUGAUAGCUCUUUCUUGAUUCGGUGGAUGGUGGUGCAUGGCCGUUCUUAGUUGGUGGAGUGAUUUGUCUGGUUAAUUCCGAUAACGAACGAGACUCUAGCCUGCUAAGUAGUGUUGCUAUUGUUAUAUGGUUGACACUUCUUAGAGGGACAAGUGGCAUUUAGCCACGCGAAAUUGAGCAAUAACAGGUCUGUGAUGCCCUUAGAUGCCCGGGGCCGCACGCGCGCUACACUGGAGAAGUCAGCGUGUGUUAUCCAAGUCCGAAAGGACUGGGUAAUCCGUUGAACCUUCUUCGUGCUUGGGACUGUGGCUUGGAACUAUUCCACAUGAACGAGGAAUUCCUAGUAAUUGCAAGUCAUAAGCUUGCGUUGAUUUCGUCCCUGCCCUUUGUACACACCGCCCGUCGCUACUACCGAUUGAAUGGUUUAGCAAGGUCCUCGGAUCGUGGCCGUAGGGGCACGCAAGUGUUUCUGCGGUUUGCGAGAAGACGACCAAACUUGAUCAUUUAGA